UUUUUUUUCUUUUCCCUCACAUAUAGGCCAUUGAAUAGACUUUUUAGGACAGAAGGCCUAGAUAUACGCAUUACACACACAAACAGAACUACGUGGUUACGUAAUUAGACACUAGCAGUUUUUGUGCUUUUCUUUUUCGUGGAAGCUUCCUACGAAUCUGUCAACAAAAUCACUUUUGAUUUUAUUCUCACGUGUAUGUGGUGGUCUCAAUCGAAAUACAUCCUUAAAACUCGUGAUUUUAGGUUCCACUAGUACUGUAUAAAACCAACCACAUAAGCUUUCUUAAUUGUUCUCUCAAACUAAACGAAAACUCUUUCUCAGAUCGACCAAGCAUACCUCGGACUCUCUUCUUUCUAGGUUUAGGAGGAGGAGGGAUCAAAUUCAUCAAUGGCUAAGGGAAUCAGAAGCUUGAGUUCGUGGAUGGAGGUUGCUCCAGCACCCAUAAUCCUCCCAAGGAAGCCUUCCAAUUCGCCUGCUUUGGCGACCAUCACAGAAGAAGAUGCUGAGGAACACACCAAAAAAGCUUCAAUCAAUACCCUCCUCAAAUCGUAGUUGAUUCAAGCUUCUGAAGAUGAUUUACUUGUGAAAAUAAGCGCUAGUUAUUCACAAUAGCUUUGUAGAGUUAGUUGAUUUUGUCAGAUAUGUAGUUCCCUCUUUCUCUUCUUCUUUCUCGAUCACUUUAUUCUGCAUCCCUGCCUUUCAUUUUGGUACGAGUUGAUUUAAGAAAUACCGCACUUCAUUUUUUUUUUGUGGGUUUCAUAAUCCUGUUCUGUUUUCAAAAUCCAAUUUUUUAUGCGUAUAAUUCACGUUGUUAUUAGUUGGUAUCACCCGAACCUAUAAGUUUUAAUCAAUGAAUUCUGCGAUCGAUAAUGGUUAAUUGAAAACAUAGUGCAUGAAGCAGAGAUUAUUAGGAUUGAAUCAGAGACAUACAUGUUCAACUUCAGGGUUUAUUAUGAUGUAUAUGACAAAUCCAGAUUAAUUAAAA
rnacentral:lncRNA from 1 species